CAGGAAAGGAAGCAGAAGUGCACAUGUUUCAGUAAAGCUAGUUUACUGUAAACAUUUGCCAAAAUAUGACAUGCAUGCCUCAUCUGGCCUUCAUAUCAGUGAGUUAAUUUGUUCCUGACCUCGUGGAUGGAUGAUGAUCCCCCAUCCUAACUAUGGAACUAGGGAACAAGACCCUGUGCAUUGUCUGCAAGGAAUCUGGUGGAAGGGACAUAACUGCUGUCACAGCUCCUAAGCUGCUUCACCAAGUAAAACUGUUUGAGGAAUCCGGACUGAUCACCAAUGAUGCGGAUAUCAAUCUUUCAC